CCUACGGGAGGCAGCAGUGGGGGAUAUUGCACAAUGGGGGAAACCCUGAUGCAGCAACGCCGCGUGUGGGAAGAAGGUUUUCGGAUUGUAAACCACUGUUCUUGGUGAAGAUAAUGACGGUAACCAAGGAGAAAGCUCCGGCUAACUAAGUGCCAGCAGCCGCGGUAAUACGGAAGGCCCGAGCGUUAUCCGGAUUCAUUGGGCUUAAAGGGAGCGUAGGCGGGCGUUCAAGUCAGCUGUAAAAUCGCGCGGCUCAACCGCGCCCCGCAGUUGAAACUGGACGCCUUGAGUUCACAACAGGCAGGCGGAAUUCGUGGUGUAGCGGUGAAAUGCAUAGAUAUCACGAGGAACCCCGAUUGCGAAGGCAGCCUGCCGGGGUGCGACUGACGCUGAGGCUCGAAGGUGCGGGUAUCAAACAGGAUUAGAUACCCCAGUAGUC
rnacentral:rRNA from 1 species